UAUGAACGCUGACAGAAUGCUUAACACAUGCAAGUCAACUUGAACUUCGGUUUGGGUGGCGGACGGGUGAGUCACGCGUAAAGAACUUGCCUCACAGUUAGGGACAACAUUUGGAAACGAAUGCUAAUACCUGAUAUUAUGAUUUUAGGGCAUCCUAGAAUUAUGAAAGCUAUAUGCGCUGUGAGAGAGCUUUGCGUCCCAUUAGCUAGUUGGAGAGGUAACGGCUCACCAAGGCGAUGAUGGGUAGCCGGCCUGAGAGGGUGAACGGCCACAAGGGGACUGAGACACGGCCCUUACUCCUACGGGAGGCAGCAGUGGGGAAUAUUGGACAAUGGACCAAGAGUCUGAUCCAGCAAUUCUGUGUGCACGAUGAAGUUUUUCGGAAUGUAAAGUGCUUUCAGUUGGGAAGAAAAAAAUGACGGUACCAACAGAAGAAGUGACGGCUAAAUACGUG
rnacentral:rRNA from 1 species